CGCUUUUCAGAUGACUCUAGCUAGUGUCAGGUGGCAAAAAAAAUAACAGAGUCUUGCUGCAGAGCUCAGGCUGGCCACCAACUCCAAGUCCUCCUGCUUCAGUCUGUGUGGACUGCUAGGAUUACAGGAGAAGAGGUUAAUUAGACUAAGGAAAACAAGCUCUGGAUUUUCGAAAAGGAUUUCUCUAUGUAUUGAGCCCUGGAUAUCCUGGAUUCACUUUGAAAACCAGGCUGGCCUCGAACUCACGAAGAUCUGCCUGCCCCUCUCCCGAGUGCUGUCCGAGCCACUCUUUAAUGAAGGAACUUUAUUUAGUAAUAUUGGAAGAAAUAUUGGUGAGACACAUACCAAUAUUGGAAGGAGCAAACAGGACAGUUUAUGAAGAUUCUUUACUAUUCGAAGGAGCACAAGCUAGUUCCCCGGCACAGAGGCUGAGUACUAUUCCCAAGGAGCCAUUACACAUUUUAAGGAAAAAAAAAAUUACAAGAGAGGACACCGACGGCACCAAGAAGAAAGAGGCGAUGAAGAAAUCAAUGCAAUGUAUGCUGCUUUUUCUUGUUCAUGUGUUUUUUGCAGCGCUUAUGGUCGGACGUUUAAGCCUACUGUAUACCUGUAUACCAGGUAUAUUCUCUACCAAUCACCCACAUUCUCGGCACUAAUUAUCCUAACUGAUAUGGGUGGAAGAACAGUGAACCCCAUAAACACGACAAAAAUAUGUUAGAAAUUUCUGUGAGAUGACUUUUUAAAAAAAUCACUGUAAUAGUCGAAGUAAUAACAUAAUAAAAUUAAUGAUGAGGUUUGGCUCCUUUGGAAAAAGCCCUGAAAGAGUUUAACUCAUGCAUAUAAAAAUGCUGCCCAAAUUGAUGCUUAUUUCCCAACCUGAAUAAACAUGAGAG